rnacentral:rRNA from 2 species
GCGACGUGCGGCAGCCUAACCAUCGCAGUCCGAACGCCCUUUUCGGAGGGAGUGGCGCACGGGUGCGUAACGCGUGGGAACCUGCCCUUAGGUUCGGAAUAACUCAGAGAAAUUUGAGCUAAUACCGGAUAAUGUCUUCGGACCAAAGAUUUAUCGCCUUUGGAUGGGCCCGCGUAGGAUUAGAUAGUUGGUGGGGUAAUGGCCUACCAAGUCGACGAUCCUUAGCUGGUCUGAGAGGAUGAUCAGCCACACUGGGACUGAGACACGGCCCAGACUCCUACGGGAGGCAGCAGUGGGGAAUAUUGGACAAUGGGCGAAAGCCUGAUCCAGCAAUGCCGCGUGAGUGAUGAAGGCCUUAGGGUUGUAAAGCUCUUUUACCAGGGAUGAUAAUGACAGUACCUGGAGAAUAAGCUCCGGCUAACUCCGUGCCAGCAGCCGCGGUAAUACGGAGGGAGCUAGCGUUGUUCGGAAUUACUGGGCGUAAAGCGCACGUAGGCGGCUUUUCAAGUCAGGGGUGAAAUCCCGGGGCUCAACCCCGGAACUGCCCUUGAAACUGGAUGGCUAGAAUACUGGAGAGGUGAGUGGAAUUCCGAGUGUAGAGGUGAAAUUCGUAGAUAUUCGGAAGAACACCAGUGGCGAAGGCGACUCACUGGACAGUUAUUGACGCUGAGGUGCGAAAGCGUGGGAGGCCAAACAGAAUAAUGGCAAAC